UCUCUGGAUGAGAAACUGAGACAGACGGUUCAUGCUGUGAUGAAUGCAGGUUUAGCCAGUGGGGCCCCUGAGGUGUUGUACUCGGUGCAGAACUACCACAAGCGAGCAAUGGAUGCCAUAAAGAGUCCAACCCCCAAUGUGAACUGUGAUGUCAUCCUAAUCAGACCUCAAAUGGCUGAGCACGAGUUUGGUCAACAGAAUAACGACUACAAAUGGAAGGAGUGCUGCAGUGGAAAGGUGACCGUUCACACACUAAAUUACACUCAUACAGAGCUUGGCAGGAAUGGAGAGACCUUCAGAGAAAUCACAAACAUCAUAGAAGGACUGCAGUCUGUGGAGAGUGCCUAAAAAUGUUACUAUGAAAGAUUGUUGCACUCUAUGAACCUUGACCACCCUCUCUUUACAACAAUUUAUUGUUGUUCAGAAGAAUUCAUUGUAAUAUGUAGGCAGAAUAAAAUUGUUCAAUGUUUAAUCUGUGAACAAAAAUGUAUAUCUAUCAUUUUUGUCUUUUUCACAUGCACAGAAAUAAAAACUGUACAUGUUCUGUUAACUGUAAUUACACAUGGAUAAGGUCUCCUUCACUUAAUAUGUCAAGAGGAAAACAGUGAUGAUUUUUUUCUGUGCAAUUACUUAUAUCAUCCAGUAUAUGCAAGAUUUAUAUUAAAGGUAUCUAGAGUU
rnacentral:misc_RNA from 1 species